UACGUAGGGGGGCAAGCGUUUGUCCGGAUUUAUUGGGCGUAAAGAGCGUGUAGGCGGCCAGGUAGGUGGGUUGUGAAAACUGGAGGCUCAACCUUCAGAGGUCGACCCAAACCCCCCUGGCUAGAGUCCGGAAGAGGAGAGUGGAAUUCCUGGUGUAGCGGUGAAAUGCGCAGAUAUCAGGAAGAACACCCGUGGCGAAGGCGGCUCACUGGUCCGGUACUGACGCUGAGGUGCGAAAGCGUGGGGAGCAAACAGG
rnacentral:rRNA from 1 species